rnacentral:rRNA from 1 species
UUUUAAAUAAAAUUAAUUAAUAAGAAAUUAAAUGGAAACAUUAAAUUUAAAUAAUUUGGCGGUAUUUUAAAUAAUUAGAGGAAUUUGUUAGUUAAAUGAUAAUCCACGAAUGGAAUGUCCUAUUAAGAUUUUAUGUAUUGUUGUAUAAAAAUUAUUUUAAGAGAAUUAUAAUUGAGAUAUUUGAUUAAUAUGAAUUCAAAUCAAAAUGUAGAAUUAAUAGGGUAUAAUGAGUUACAAUUUAAUUUAAUAUAAUAUUUAUUUUUUUAAUUAAAAUAAAUGAUUAGGAUUUAAAAGUAAAUUUAAAAAAAUUUUUAAAUUGAAAUAGUAAUUGAAAUAUG